AACAUGUCAACUCAAUUUAGCUAUUGCAAAUAAGUCGGCCUAUUUAUUUCAAGUACUAUUGUCAUCUCUCUCUUCGUUUGGAAUGUGGAGGAUGGAGAGGGGAGUUCAAAAGUUGUCUCUCGCCCCUUGUUGGUUUGAGGGAACGAAGAAGAAGAAAAAUGGCAAACUAGAGUACUAUUAAGUACAAUAAAAAUUUUCCUUCAUUUUUCAUGUUAAUUAUUUUCUCUUCUCUUCCCUCUUUUUCCACAAGGUUCCAAACAAAGCAUUAGGGGUUCAUUGCUUUUAAUCUUUUGCGAAUCUUCUUGUCUGGACAGAAUACAUUGUCCGCAAAAAUAAUUUAUCAAUUUUGGGUGUUUGGUUGCAUAAACUUGGAUAAAACUAUUUCUUAAGAAAAAGUUUUAGAUUGACAACAAGAAUUAACUUCUGGAGCGAAAAACAUUAAAUUACGUCGUUUUCUCUUAAGGAAG